rnacentral:tRNA from 1 species
GGGGUUGUGGCUCAGUGGUAGAGUACUUGCUUAGCAUGUGUGAGGUACUGGGUUUAAUUCCCAGCACCACA